rnacentral:lncRNA from 1 species
GGGCUUUAAUACAAUAACAGAAUUUUUAAGUGUUAAUUUGGGGGCUGGGGUGAGGGGUUACGUUCUGCUGUGCCGUGGUUAAGUGGCCGCAUCCCUCUGCUGUGACCGCACCGUCCGGAAGAUGUUCUUGCUGCACACCGUGUCUGUGCUGCAGUUCUGGUUAUCCUUGUCUGUUGCCUCCUCCUCCACCUCUUUCCUCCACUUGAGCUCACAGAAAACCCGCUCGAAGCACUCAUGCAUGUAGUUGAAGUAGGGGGUGAAGAUUUUAACCCAUCGGGGUUUCUUCUCUCCUCGAGCAUAUUCAAAACAAAAGGCCAUUCCCUCUUCGUCCGUGUCCCACCGCUGCAUUUCGUCCCAUUCAAAUGCUAUUACCUGGUUCUCCAGCUGUCCCUCUUCGGUGCAGGCGUGGAGUUUAAAGUGCUUAAUGCUGAUGGCCGUGAUCACAUGUCCCUUCCGCCGAGAGUCACAGGAGCAGUGAGGGAAGAUGAUCUCGUUGUAACCCUCGCAUGUCCGCAACAUGUUUAAAUACAUGACCAUCUUCCUCUGCUCACACAGCUUCUGUAGCUGGUAGGACUUCUCCUCUGCUUUGAUGUAGCCUUUCUUGACAUCAUCAACAGCCUGAUGGAAGAAGUAGGUGACUGCCAAGUCGUUGUCAUUGAGAAGAGCCUCCUCCUCUGUCGUGAACAGCCAUUUCCGGAUGGUCAGGCACGUCCCCGGCACUGCCGAGGUGUAGUUCUGCACGUAGAGUUUGUGGGGAAAUUCGUUGGGCGCCAGCUUGCGCACGAAGGAGUGAUUGAUCACUUCAAACAAGGCGAAGUAGUUGGCGGUAACACUGUCCAUUCCAACUUUAGCAGCCACGGCCUGGUACACCUGGUCUGUAGUGCUGUUCUUUUUGACUCUGACUGUCACUGUUGUUAUGUCUGGUAACGCUACCCGGAGCUCCACGUCUGAGACGCCGUUGUAAUUCUCAUCCGACUCCGACAGGAACUCCUGCAUGAUGUCACUCUCUCCGAUGACACGGAUGGAGCACACUUUCUCCAGGUACUCCUCCAGCCCUCGCCGCCGGGCGUCCAGCUGCUGCUCCGACAGGGAGAAGGGCCACUUUCCAGGGAGACGUGGGAAGGUGAAAUUGGCAAAUUCCCGCUUCAGGUUCUGGUGCAGGAUGGCGAACUCACGGUACCGCUUGGAGCAGAGCUGCCGACCGGCCAUGUAAACGUUGUAUACCACAAACUUCUCUCCGUUCUGCUCCACGUGUUUGUAGGUGGGGAUGGAGAUGGGCACGGCCUGCUUCUCUGUGUAGUCGUAGAAGGACUGCCCCAAGGAGUCGUCGCUGGGGUCGAGGUUGUCAGCCUCGUGGGGAGGCACCGACAGCACUGUCAGGAUCAGCUCCUUCUCCCCAGCACGGAUCAGGUCAACCACCUGCUUGUGUGUUGCUCCUUCAACGUUCACCCCGUUCACCUCCAGGAUGCGGUCUCCUUUGCGGACCCCGGCGCGGUCGGCCGCCCCCCCGCCCAGCACGGCGCUGACGUGCUGCAGCGGCGCGUACAGCUCGCCGUUGAUGCUCCGCAGCUGCCCGCCCUCGCUCACUUGGCCCCGCACGUUGAAGCCGUAUCCGGAUUCGGAUUUCACGAUGCGGACCACCCGCGGUCCCCCCGGGGCUCCUUCAUCGCCGCCGUUCCGCUGCGGGGCCGCGGCCGAGCGCGGCGGCCCUUCACCCUCCUCGUCCGCCAUCUUGGCGAGCAGCGCCGGGCCGCGCCGUCACGCGCGCAGCGCCCCCUCAGCCACCGUACGCGCACGGGCUGAUGGGAAACGUAGUCCGAGCCGCCGUGGAGAGCGAGGGGGCGCGGGGGGUGAU